GUUUAUUAUAGAUCCGAUCAAUCAGGUUUAUUAUUGAUCUGAUCAGUCAGGUUUAUUAUUGAUCUGAUCAAUCAGGUUUAUUAUUGAUCUGAUCAAUCAGGUUGAUUAUUGAUCUGAUCAGUCAGGUUUAUUAUAGAUCCGAUCAAUCAG